rnacentral:rRNA from 1 species
GUCGAGGGGUAGAGGAAGCUUGCUUCCUUGAGACCGGCGCACGGGUGCGUAACGCGUAUGCAAUCUACCUUUUACAGAGGGAUAGCCCAGAGAAAUUUGGAUUAAUACCUCAUAGUAUAUAUUAUUCGCAUGUUUGAUAUAUUAAAGUUCCAACGGUAAAAGAUGAGCAUGCGUCCCAUUAGUUAGUUGGUAAGGUAACGGCUUACCAAGACGAUGAUGGGUAGGGGUCCUGAGAGGGAGAUCCCCCACACUGGUACUGAGACACGGACCAGACUCCUACGGGAGGCAGCAGUGAGGAAUAUUGGUCAAUGGACGCAAGUCUGAACCAGCCAUGCCGCGUGCAGGAAGACGGUCCUAUGGAUUGUAAACUGCUUUUGUACGGGAAGAAACCCUCCGACGAGUCGGAGCUUGACGGUACCGUAAGAAUAAGCAUCGGCUAACUCCGUGCCAGCAGCCGCGGUAAUACGGAGGAUGCGAGCGUUAUCCGGAAUCAUUGGGUUUAAAGGGUCCGUAGGCGGUUUAAUAAGUCAGUGGUGAAAUCUGGUCGCUCAACGAUCAAACUGCCAUUGAUACUGUUAGACUUGAAUUACUGUGAAGUAACUAGAAUAUGUAGUGUAGCGGUGAAAUGCUUAGAUAUUACAUGGAAUACCAAUUGCGAAGGCAGGUUACUAACAGUUGAUUGACGCUGAUGGACGAAAGCGUGGGGAGCGAACAGGAUUAGAUACCCUGGUAGUCCACGCCGUAAACGAUGGAUACUA